rnacentral:rRNA from 1 species
UAGGGAAUCUUCGGCAAUGGGGGCAACCCUGACCGAGCAACGCCGCGUGAGUGAAGAAGGUUUUCGGAUCGUAAAGCUCUGUUGUAAGUCAAGAACGAGUGUGAGAGUGGAAAGUUCACACUGUGACGGUAGCUUACCAGAAAGGGACGGCUAACUACGUGCCAGCAGCCGCGGUAAUACGUAGGUCCCGAGCGUUGUCCGGAUUUAUUGGGCGUAAAGCGAGCGCAGGCGGUUUGAUAAGUCUGAAGCUAAAGGCUGUGGCUCAACCAUAGUUCGCUUUGGAAACUGUCAAACUUGAGUGCAGAAGGGGAGAGUGGAAUUCCAUGUGUAGCGGUGAAAUGCGUAGAUAUAUGGAGGAACACCGGUGGCGAAAGCGGCUCUCUGGUCUGUAACUGACGCUGAGGCUCGAAAGCGUGGGGAGCGAACAGGAUUAGAUACCCUGGUAGUCCACGCCGUAAACGAUGAGUGCUAGGUGUUGGAUCCUUUCCGGGAUUCAGUGCCGCAGCUAACGCAUUAAGCACUCCGCCUGGGGAGUACGACCGCAAGGUUG